GGGUUGUGAGGUUAAGCGACUAAGCGUACACGGUGGAUGCCCUGGCAGUCAGAGGCGAUGAAGGACGUGCUAAUCUGCGAAAAGCGUCGGUAAGGUGAUAUGAACCGUUAUAACCGGCGAUGUCCGAAUGGGGAAACCCAGUGUGAUUCGUCACACUAUCGUUAACUGAAUACAUAGGUUAACGAGGCGAACCGGGGGAACUGAAACAUCUAAGUACCCCGAGGAAAAGAAAUCAACCGAGAUUCCCCAGUAGCGGCGAGCGAACGGGGAGCAGCCCAGAGUCUGAAUCAGCUUGUGUGUUAGUGGAACGGUCUGGAAAGUCCGACGGUACAGGGUGAUAGUCCCGUACACCAAAAUGCACAGGUUGUGAACUCGAAGAGUAGGGCGGGACACGUGGUAUCCUGUCUGAAUAUGGGGGGACCAUCCUCCAAGGCUAAAUACUCCUGACUGACCGAUAGUGAACCAGUACCGUGAGGGAAAGGCGAAAAGAACCCCGGCGAGGGGAGUGAAAAAGAACCUGAAACCGUGUACGUACAAGCAGUGGGAGCACCUUCGGGUGUGACUGCGUACCUUUUGUAUAAUGGGUCAGCGACUUAUAUUCUGUAGCAAGGUUAACCGUAUAGGGGAGCCGCAGGGAAACCGAGUCUUAACUGGGCGUUAAGUUGCAGGGUAUAGACCCGAAACCCGGUGAUCUAGCCAUGGGCAGGUUGAAGGUUGGGUAACACUAACUGGAGGACCGAACCGACUAAUGUUGAAAAAUUAGCGGAUGACUUGUGGCUGGGGGUGAAAGGCCAAUCAAACCGGGAGAUAGCUGGUUCUCCCCGAAAGCUAUUUAGGUAGCGCCUCGUGAAUUCAUCUUCGGGGGUAGAGCACUGUUUCGGCUAGGGGGUCAUCCCGACUUACCAACCCGAUGCAAACUACGAAUACCGAAGAAUGUUAUCACGGGAGACACACGGCGGGUGCUAACGUCCGUCGUGAAGAGGGAAACAACCCAGACCGCCAGCUAAGGUCCCAAAGUCAUGGUUAAGUGGGAAACGAUGUGGGAAGGCACAGACAGCCAGGAUGUUGGCUUAGAAGCAGCCAUCAUUUAAAGAAAGCGUAAUAGCUCACUGGUCGAGUCGGCCUGCGCGGAAGAUGUAACGGGGCUAAACCAUGCACCGAAGCUGCGGCAGCGACACUAUGUGUUGUUGGGUAGGGGAGCGUUCUGUAAGCCUGCGAAGGUGUGCUGUGAGGCAUGCUGGAGGUAUCAGAAGUGCGAAUGCUGACAUAAGUAACGAUAAAGCGGGUGAAAAGCCCGCUCGCCGGAAGACCAAGGGUUCCUGUCCAACGUUAAUCGGGGCAGGGUGAGUCGACCCCUAAGGCGAGGCCGAAAGGCGUAGUCGAUGGGAAACAGGUUAAUAUUCCUGUACUUGGUGUUACUGCGAAGGGGGGACGGAGAAGGCUAUGUUAGCCGGGCGACGGUUGUCCCGGUUUAAGCAUGUAGGCUGGUUGUCCAGGCAAAUCCGGAUAAUCAAGGCUGAGGUGUGAUGACGAGGCACUACGGUGCUGAAGUAACAAAUGCCCUGCUUCCAGGAAAAGCCUCUAAGCAUCAGGUAACAUCAAAUCGUACCCCAAACCGACACAGGUGGUCAGGUAGAGAAUACCAAGGCGCUUGAGAGAACUCGGGUGAAGGAACUAGGCAAAAUGGUGCCGUAACUUCGGGAGAAGGCACGCUGGUGUGUAGGUGAAGUCCCUGCGGAUGGAGCUGAGACCAGUCGAAGAUACCAGCUGGCUGCAACUGUUUAUUAAAAACACAGCACUGUGCAAACACGAAAGUGGACGUAUACGGUGUGACGCCUGCCCGGUGCCGGAAGGUUAAUUGAUGGGGUUAUCCGUAAGGAGAAGCUCUUGAUCGAAGCCCCGGUAAACGGCGGCCGUAACUAUAACGGUCCUAAGGUAGCGAAAUUCCUUGUCGGGUAAGUUCCGACCUGCACGAAUGGCGUAAUGAUGGCCAGGCUGUCUCCACCCGAGACUCAGUGAAAUUGAACUCGCUGUGAAGAUGCAGUGUACCCGCGGCAAGACGGAAAGACCCCGUGAACCUUUACUAUAGCUUGACACUGAACAUUGAGCCUUGAUGUGUAGGAUAGGUGGGAGGCUUUGAAGCGUGGACGCCAGUCUGCGUGGAGCCAACCUUGAAAUACCACCCUUUAAUGUUUGAUGUUCUAACGUUGGCCCCUGACCGGGGUUGCGGACAGUGUCUGGUGGGUAGUUUGACUGGGGCGGUCUCCUCCCAAAGCGUAACGGAGGAGCACGAAGGUUAGCUAAUCCUGGUCGGACAUCAGGAGGUUAGUGCAAUGGCAUAAGCUAGCUUGACUGCGAGCGUGACGGCGCGAGCAGGUGCGAAAGCAGGUCAUAGUGAUCCGGUGGUUCUGAAUGGAAGGGCCAUCGCUCAACGGAUAAAAGGUACUCCGGGGAUAACAGGCUGAUACCGCCCAAGAGUUCAUAUCGACGGCGGUGUUUGGCACCUCGAUGUCGGCUCAUCACAUCCUGGGGCUGAAGUAGGUCCCAAGGGUAUGGCUGUUCGCCAUUUAAAGUGGUACGCGAGCUGGGUUUAGAACGUCGUGAGACAGUUCGGUCCCUAUCUGCCGUGGGCGCUGGAGAAUUGAGGGGGGCUGCUCCUAGUACGAGAGGACCGGAGUGGACGCAUCACUGGUGUUCGGGUUGUCAUGCCAAUGGCACUGCCCGGUAGCUAAAUGCGGAAGAGAUAAGUGCUGAAAGCAUCUAAGCACGAAACUUGCCCCGAGAUGAGUUCUCCCUGAGACUUUAAGUCUCCUGAAGGAACGUUAAAGACGAUGACGUUGAUAGGCCGGGUGUGUAAGCGCAGCGAUGCGUUGAGCUAACCGGUACUAAUGAACCGUGAGGCUUAACCUUACAACGCCGAAG
rnacentral:rRNA from 1 species